ACGACUGCUAAGACUGGAUAUGAAGUUUUGAGGCAUCUCGAAACUUUUAAAAGACCCGCAAGGGUAUGCUGAGAGAUGGGCUUGCGGCACAUUAGUUAGUUGGUAAGGUAAUGGCUUACCAAGACUAUGAUGUGUAGCUGGACUGAGAGGUUGAACGGCCACAUUGGGACUGAGAUACGGCCCAAACUCCUACGGGAGGCAGCAGUAAGGAAUUUUCGGCAAUGGAGGAAACUCUGACCGAGCAACGCCGCGUGAACGAUGAAGUAUUUAGGUACGUAAAGUUCUUUUAUUAAAGAAGAAAAAAUGAUGGAAAAAUCAUUCUGACGGUAUUUAAUGAAUAAGCCCCGGCUAACUAUGUGCCAGCAGCUGCGGUAAUACAUGGGGGGCAAGCGUUAUCCGGAUUUAUUGGGCGUAAAGGGUGCGUAGGCGGUUAAAUAAGUCUAUGGUAUAAGUUCAACGCUUAACGUUGUGAUGCUAUAGAAACUGUUUGACUAGAGUUGGAUAGAGGCAAGUGGAAUUCCAUGUGUAGCGGUAAAAUGCGUAAAUAUAUGGAGGAACACCAGUAGCGAAGGCGGCUUGCUGGGUCUUAACUGACGCUGAGGCACGAAAGCGUGGGGAGCAAACAGGAUUAGAUACCCUG
rnacentral:rRNA from 1 species